rnacentral:miRNA from 1 species
UGUGUGUGUGUGUGUGUGUGUGUGUGUGUGUGUGAGUGUGUGUGAGUGUGUGUGUGUGCGCGCACACCCAGACACCCAGACACACACACGC